rnacentral:rRNA from 1 species
CAAGACCUGCGCUUUUGGAGCGGCCGAUGCCUGAUUAGCUUGUUGGUAAGGUAAAAGCUUACCAAGGCUUCGAUCAGUAGCUGGUCUGAGAGGACGACCAGCCACACUGGGACUGAGACACGGCCCAGACUCCUACGGGAGGCAGCAGUGGGGAAUUUUGGACAAUGGGGGCAACCCUGAUCCAGCCAUGCCGCGUGAGUGAAGAAGGCCUUCGGGUUGUAAAGCUCUUUCAGCCGGAACGAAACGGUUACGGAUAACACCCGUGACUACUGACGGUACCGGAAGAAGAAGCACCGGCUAACUACGUGCCAGCAGCCGCGGUAAUACGUAGGGUGCGAGCGUUAAUCGGAAUUACUGGGCGUAAAGCGUGCGCAGGUGGUUUUGUAAGUCAGAUGUGAAAUCCCCGGGCUUAACCUGGGAACU